CGGCGGACGGGUGAGUAACACGUGGGUAACCUACCUAUAAGACUGGGACAACUUCGGGAAACCGGAGCUAAUACCGGAUAAGAUAUCGAACCGCAUGGUUCGAUAGUGAAAGAUGGUUUUGCUAUCACUUAUAGAUGGACCCGCGCCGUAUUAGCUAGUUGGUGAGGUAACGGCUCACCAAGGCAACGAUACGUAGCCGACCUGAGAGGGUGAUCGGCCACACUGGAACUGAGGCACGGUCCAGACUCCUACGGGAGGCAGCAGGC
rnacentral:rRNA from 1 species